rnacentral:lncRNA from 1 species
AGAUAAGAAUAUGGAAUGCUCACUCCACAACAUUGUUUGUGAAAAUCUUCAGAUUUAUUUUAUUGAACAAGGCUAUAAAAGUAUUUACAGAGGAGAGGGAAAGAGAGCACAGUGGAGAGAUGCCUUGGGAGAGAGCUGUUACUGGCCAUGGUGUCAUUCUUCUUCCACAGAUGCAUCGGCCCAGGUGAAAGGGAUUUCAGGAGUGGGGUCUUCUGCAAAUCCAUGAAGAUGACUCUCGAGCAGAAACAUCAACCUUAGCCAUCUGUUGAACCCUGAAAAUGAGAAGCCUGAUAAGGAAGGUCCAGUUCAAAUAAGGCUUUUCCUCUGUCUCCCCGCUGCCAGGAUCUGAAUGACAGACACUGUCUGGUGAGCUGCUGUUAGAGGGAGGAUAAGGAUCACAGUGUAAAAGAUAGAAAGGAAAUCAGGUGCCUCUCAAGCUCUACUCCCACAGCCCUUUCCCUUUGUCUAUUUCCAGGGAGAAGCAGAUCCAAACUGAGAAGGGAGAAGAUGUGAUAGUUGAUAUCACAACAAGCUUGAGUUUUGAUUAAUAUCUUGGACAGGACAUUCUAUGUUCCAAAUAGAGAUUGUGUGUUACAAAGUGACUGCAGGACCAAAAAUGAGUAGCAAAUUCAUGAACCUCUUAGAUUUUUUUAAUUUAGGACAUGAUGAGAUUACUGCCAGUGACUCAACUUUUAAAAUACAAGGAAUAACUAAAUAAAUAAAGUAAAAUUGCACUU